AUUGAACGCUGGCGGCAGGCCUAACACAUGCAAGUCGAGCGAGUGGCGGACGGGUGAGUAAUGUCUGGGGAUCUGCCUGAUGGAGGGGGAUAACUACUGGAAACGGUAGCUAAUACCGCAUACCCUCAGGUGAACCCAUAUGGGAUUAGCUGGUAGGUGAGGUAAAGGCUCACCUAGGCGACGAUCCCUAGCUGGUCUGAGAGGAUGACCAGCCACACUGUGACUGAGACACGGCCCAGACUCCUACGUGAGGCAGCAGUGGGGAAUAUUGCACAAUGGGCGCAAGCCUGAUGCAGCCAUGCCGCGUGUAUGAAGAAGGCCUUCGGGUUGUAAAGUACUUUCAGUCGGGAGGCGUUACCGACAGAAGAAGCACCGGCUAACUCCGUGCCAGCCGCCGCGGUAAUUC
rnacentral:rRNA from 1 species